rnacentral:rRNA from 2 species
GCUACACAUGCAGUCGAGCGGGGAGAUNGUUANGCUUGCNUACANUUGUCCUAGCGGCGGACGGGUGAGUAAUGCUUAGGAAUCUGCCUAUUAGUGGGGGACAACAUUCCGAAAGGAAUGCUAAUACCGCAUACGCCCUACGGGGGAAAGCAGGGGAUCUUCGGACCUUGCGCUAAUAGAUGAGCCUAAGUCAGAUUAGCUAGUUGGUGGGGUAAAGGCCUACCAAGGCGACGAUCUGUAGCGGGUCUGAGAGGAUGAUCCGCCACACUGGGACUGAGACACGGCCCAGACUCCUACGGGAGGCAGCAGUGGGGAAUAUUGGACAAUGGGCGAAAGCCUGAUCCAGCCAUGCCGCGUGUGUGAAGAAGGCCUUUUGGUUGUAAAGCACUUUAAGCGAGGAGGAGGCUACUUNGAUUAAUACUCUAGGAUAGUGGACGUUACUCGCAGAAUAAGCACCGGCUAACUCUGUGCCAGCAGCCGCGGUAAUACAGAGGGUGCGAGCGUUAAUCGGAUUUACUGGGCGUAAAGCGUGCGUAGGCGGCUUCUUAAGUCGGAUGUGAAAUCCCUGAGCUUAACUUAGGAAUUGCAUUCGAUACUGGGAAGCUAGAGUAUGGGAGAGGAUGGUAGAAUUCCAGGUGUAGCGGUGAAAUGCGUAGAGAUCUGGAGGAAUACCGAUGGCGAAGGCAGCCAUCUGGCCUAAUACUGACGCUGAGGUACGAAAGCAUGGGGAGCAAACAGGAUUAGAUACCCUGGUAGUCCAUGCCGUAAACGAUGUCUACUAGCCGUUGGGGCCUUUGA